rnacentral:rRNA from 1 species
AGAUUGAACGCUAGCGGGAUGCUUUACACAUGCAAGUCGAACGGCAGCGCGGACUUCGGUCUGGCGGCGAGUGGCGAACGGGUGAGUAAUAUAUCGGAACGUGCCCAGUAGCGGGGGAUAACUACGCGAAAGCGUGGCUAAUACCGCAUACGCCCUACGGGGGAAAGGGGGGGAUUCUUCGGAACCUCUCACUAUUGGAGCGGCCGAUAUCAGAUUAGCUAGUUGGUGAGGUAAAGGCUCACCAAGGCGACGAUCUGUAGCUGGUUUGAGAGGACGACCAGCCACACUGGGACUGAGACACGGCCCAGACUCCUACGGGAGGCAGCAGUGGGAAUUUGGACAAUGGGGGAAACCCUGAUCCAGCCAUCCCGCGUGUGCGAUGAAGGCCUUCGGGCUGUAAAGCACUUUUGGCAGGAAGAAACGGCGUGCCCUAAUACGGACGUCACGUGACGGUACCUGCAGAAUAAGCACCGGCUAACUACGUGCCAGCAGCCGCGGUAA